AUAUCUCUCCGUACGGGAAGGAUGAGAAGCUUCGACUAAGGUUCGAUUCGAGCGCAGCGAGAACGCGUUGCCGCAGGCAACGACCCGAAGGGCGAAGCGCGCAGCGCUGAG
rnacentral:sRNA from 2 species